rnacentral:rRNA from 1 species
CAAGUCGAACGAGAAAGUUCCCUUCGGGGAGCGAGUAAAGUGGCGCACGGGUGAGUAACACGUAGGUAAUCUACCUUCGGGUGGGGAAUAACGCAGGGAAACUUGCGCUAACACCGCAUAAUGCAGCGGCACCACAUGGUGACAGUUGUUAAAGCGGGGGAUUUUAGGACCUCGCGCCUGAAGAGGAGCCUGCGGCGGAUUAGCUAGUUGGUAGGGUAACGGCUUACCAAGGCGACGAUCCGUAACCGGCCUGAGAGGGCGGUCGGUCACACUGACACUGACAUACGGGUCAGACUCCUACGGGAGGCAGCAGUCGGGAAUUUUGGGCAAUGGGCGAAAGCCUGACCCAGCAACGCCGCGUGAAGGAUGAAAUCCCUCGGGAUGUAAACUUCGCAAGAAUGGGAAGAAUUAGUAGGGGCUAAUACUCCCUAUGAUGACGGUACCAUUUGUAAGCUCCGGCUAACUCCGUGCCAGCAGCCGCGGUAAUACGGGGGGAGCAAGCGUUGUUCGGAUUUACUGGGCGUAAAGGGCGCGUAGGCGGUCAGCACAAGUCAGUUGUGAAAUCUCCGGGCUUAACUCGGAAAGGUCAACUGAUACUGUGCGACUAGAGUGCAGAAGGGGCAACUGGAAUUCUCGGUGUAGCGGUGAAAUGCGUAGAUAUCGAGAGGAACACCUGCGGCGAAGGCGGGUUGCUGGGCUGACACUGACGCUGAUGCGCGAAAGCCAGGGGAGCGAACGGGAUUAGAUACCCCGGUAGUCCUGGCCUU